UUAGAGUGAACAAAUUCAUACACACACAUAGUUACUUCAUAAAAGCUAUUUUAGGGUUUUCUUUAAGUAGUUUGUGUUUCUUUCUUGUUUUUUUGUUCUUUCAAUUUUUCAUCCAUGGUAUUACAACAUAUAUCUUCAAUAUGAUCUCAAAUAUACAUAAAACGUAAUUAUUUUCAUCAAAUAAAAAAAAUUAAGCUUUAAAAAAGUUAAGGUUUAUACCUAGUUGUGUGUGAUUACUUCUCCUUGCUUGGAUCUUCUUGCUUCUCCUUGUUAGUUGAUGAUUUUUCUCA
rnacentral:lncRNA from 1 species